GUAGGGAAUAUUAGUAAUGGGCGAAAGCCUGAACUAGCAACGCCGCGUGUGCGAAGAAGGCCUUCGGGUUGUAAAGCACUUUUUGAGAGGAUGAGGAAGGACGGUACUCUCAGAAUAAGUCUCGGCUAACUACGUGCCAGCAGCCGCGGUAACACGUAGGAGGCGAACGUUAUCCGGAUUUACUGGGCGUAAAGCGCGUGUAGGUGGUUUGGUAAGUAGGGCGUGAAAGCUCCUGGCUCAACUGGGAGAGGCCGUUCUAAACUGCCGAACUAGAGGAUGGUAGAGGGAGGUGGAAUUCCGGGUGUAGCGGUGGAAUGCGCAGAUAUCCGGAGGAACACCAGUGGCGAAAGCGGCCAACUGGUCCGAAACUGACGCUGAGGCGCGAAAGCGUGGGGAGCAAACAGGAUUAGAAACCCUGGUAGUCC
rnacentral:rRNA from 1 species